rnacentral:rRNA from 1 species
UACAGAGGGUGCAAGCGUUGUUCGGAAUUAUUGGGCGUAAAGGGCGCGUAGGCGGUGCUGUAAGCCUGUGGUGAAAUCUCUGGGCUCAACUCAGAGUCUGCCAUAGAAACUGCAGUGCUGGAGUGCGGGAGAGGAGAGUGGAAUUCCUGGUGUAGCGGUGAAAUGCGCAGAUAUCAGGAAGCAACCCCGUGGCGAUGGGGACUCUCUGGAAGGGCAGUGACGCUGAGACGCGAGUGAGUGGGGAGCAAACAGG